UGGACCAAUUAAGGCCACCGUUUUUGUUGGUUGGCUCAGAGUGGUAGAGCAAAGGCCAGUGAGUGACAGCCUGCUGAACUGUAGAAUGAAUGGUACCCCCUUGGUAGCCAGAAAUACAUUGAUGAUGAAAGAGUCUUGCAAUGGAUUGGAAUUCUUGGGUUAACAGGGUACCAAGUUUAAUCUCAUCAAUGGGUUUGGUUUUACAAAAUUCGGGACCAGGAUCAGAAGUGUCUUGCAGACAACUUUGGCUUCUGGCCCUGUGACAAAAAACUCCCUUUUGGCAAGAGGCCACAGAAAGGCCUGACCAUCUGUUUAGAGGAAGAAAGGAAGAAACACAGGGAGGAGAAACGCAAGUUAAUAUUCCCCAAAUUAAACCACCACAUACUGGCGACAGUUUGGGUAGACAGUAAUGUCAAUUAAGAAGAUACUAUAUACCUGGUUCCAUGAAGUUUCAGUGACCCACUCUGUAAAGAAGGACUGGAUAAAUUAUACAAGUAUACACCAUGUUUAAUGAUAGGCAUUGAUCUCAACUACUCCAUGGGGAAAGCAUGGGGUAAACUUUCCUAUAAAGGGAAAAUGACUCUGGAAAUAGUAAUAAGUAGGGAAAUAACAAAUAUCAUUGUGAAAUAGGCACUUAAACUGUAUUUAAAGGCUUUGAACUUAUAGAAAAAUUUCAAUAAUAAAAUUUUA